rnacentral:rRNA from 1 species
CAAUGCCGCGUGAGUGAAGAAGGCCUUCGGGUUGUAAAGCUCUUUCAGUUGAGAAGAAAAGAUUGUGACUAAUAAUUGCAAUUCAUGACGGUAUCAACAGAAGAAGCACCGGCUAACUACGUGCCAGCAGCCGCGGUAAUACGUAGGGUGCGAGCGUUAAUCGGAAUUACUGGGCGUAAAGGGUGCGCAGGCGGUUCUGUAAGUCAGAUGUGAAAUCCCCGGGCUUAACCUGGGAACUGCGUUUGAAACUACAGAGCUAGAGUGUGGCAGAGGGGGGUGGAAUUCCAUGUGUAGCAGUGAAAUGCGUAGAGAUAUGGAAGAACAUCGAUGGCGAAGGCAGCCCCCUGGGUCAACACUGACGCUCAUGCACGAAAGCGUGGGGAGCAAACAGGAUUAGAUACCCUGGUAGUCCACGCCCUAAACUAUGUCAACUAGUUGUCGGGCCUUAUUAGGUUUGGUAACGUAGCUAACGCGUGAAGUUGACCGCCUGGGGAGUACGGUCGCAAGAUUAAAACUCAAAGGAAUUGACGGG